rnacentral:misc_RNA from 1 species
AUGAAGGUAGUUCUUCAACGAGUUACUCGAGCUGCAGUCACCGUAGGUGAUGAAGUGGUUCCAUUGGAAGAGGUCUGUGUGUGCUUGUCGGAGUUCAUCGAGAUGACACGGAAGAGGAUAUGAAGUAUAUCAUUAGGAAAAUUUUGAAUCUACGAGUUUUCCCUGCUUCGGAACAAAAACCAUGGGAUAAAUCAGUUAUGGAUCUCGAUUUAGAAGUGCUGUCUGUCAGUCAGUUCACCCUUUACGGUCAGUUUAAAGGAAAUAAACUGGACUUUCAUACCGCAAUGGCCCCAACAGAAGCUUCAAAAUUUUAUGCUUCUUUUCUUGAAGCCAUGAAAAAAGCUUACAAAGCUGAUAAGAUUCAGGACGGCAAAUUUGCAGCAAUGAUGAGCGUCGAUAUUGUAAAUGACGGACCUGUUACAGUUACUUUUGAUAGUAAAGAAAAAUAA